CGGGAAAUGGUGUAAUCUGGUAGCAUUCGUGCUUUGGGAGCAUGAAGUGGGGAUUCAAAUUCCUCUUUCCCGA
rnacentral:tRNA from 1 species